rnacentral:rRNA from 1 species
CAUGCCUAACACAUGCAAGUCGAACGAAGUCUUCGGACUUAGUGGCGCACGGGUGCGUAACGCGUGGGAAUCUGCCCUUGGGUACGGAAUAACUCAGAGAAAUUUGUGCUAAUACCGUAUAAUGUCUUCGGACCAAAGAUUUAUCGCCCAAGGAUGAGCCCGCGUAAGAUUAGCUAGUUGGUGGGGUAAAAGCCUACCAAGGCGACGAUCUUUAGCUGGUCUGAGAGGAUGAUCAGCCACACUGGGACUGAGACACGGCCCAGACUCC